GCCCGGGUGGCGAAAUUGGCAGACGCACCACCUUGAGGGGGUGGCGACCAUUAGGUUGUGCUGGUUCGAAUCCAGUUCCGGGCA
rnacentral:tRNA from 2 species